UGCGAUCUGCUGCUGAAUUUUUGCUUGUGCAAAAUACGGGGGAACCAAAAACAGGGGUGAAUUCGAUAAUUCGAUAGGGCGAUUACCUUCGGCCCGAAUCCGUCAGCUAACCUCGGAAGCUAGGAAGGGAAAAUGC
rnacentral:sRNA from 2 species